UCCCUGGUGGCCCAGUGGUCAGGACACUGCACUUUGACUGCCAAGGGCCCAUGUUCAAUUCCUGGUUGGGGAA
rfam:Ovis aries breed Texel chromosome 2, whole genome shotgun sequence.